GAUGAACGCUGGCGGCGUGCCUAAUACAUGCAAGUCGAGCGAACGGACGAGAAGCUUGCUUCUCUGAUGUUAGCGGCGGACGGGUGAGUAACACGUGGAUAACCUACCUAUAAGACUGGGAUAACUUCGGGAAACCGGAGCUAAUACCGGAUAAUAUUUUGAACCGCAUGGUUCAAAAGUGAAAGACGGUCUUGCUGUCACUUAUAGAUGGAUCCGCGCUGCAUUAGCUAGUUGGUAAGGUAACGGCUUACCAAGGCAACGAGGCAUAGACGACCUGAGAGGGUGAUCGGCCACACGGGAACUGAGACACGGUCAAUACUCCUACGAGACGCAGCAGUAGGGAAUCGUCCGCAAUAGUCGAAAGCCUGACGGAGCAACGCCGCGUGAGUGAUGAAGGUCUUCGGAUCGUAAAACUCUGUUAUUAGGGAAGAACAGAUGUGGAAGUAACUGUGCACAUCUUGACGGUACCUAAUCAGAAAGCCACGGCUAACUACGUG
rnacentral:rRNA from 1 species